rnacentral:rRNA from 1 species
CCCGCCGGCGACCGGCGCACGGGUGAGUAACACGUAUGCAACCUGGCCGCCACAGGGGGAUAACCCGCGGAAACGCGGCCUAAUACCCCGUGACGCCACCGGAGGGCAUCCUCCGGUGGCCAAAGGAGCGAUCCGGUGGCGGAUGGGCGUGCGGCGCAUUAGCUAGACGGCGGGGUGACGGCCCACCGUGGCGACGAUGCGUAGGGGUUCUGAGAGGAAGGCCCCCCCACACUGGGACUGAGACACGGCCCAGACUCCUACGGAAGGCAGCAG